AUUGCGAGUGUCUUCACCUCUGAAACUCAGGAACACAUCAUAACUCCAACCAGAUGAGGACCUAGAAGAGGCUGCCAUCAAGAUUUCUCUCCGAAAUACGAAUCUUUUUCCGUUUCUAAGUAAAAUAUCAGGGAACUCUUCGAUUGCAGAGCUCGAUGAAGCUAAAAUCUUGAAUGGGAAAGCAAUUCAAGAACGAAAGGGACUGCCAGUGACUCAGUAUUGGGUGUCGUAAGACUAAGAGAGGUAGAGAUUGGGAGGCCUUGGUGAACCCACCCCAUUCCUCUCGGAGGGUUUAAAGCUGAAAGCGUGAAAGGGGCUACCGGGGUUUGUAAGUAGCUGAUGGGAUUUGUUAAAAGGGUGUGAAUCGGUUCGGUUUUCGCGUUGACGCUUCAAUUUGGUUUGAUGCAAGAUUUUUUAGGAGGAAGGGUAGCGGAUGCCGUAGGUUUCCACUGUGAGGAAUUAAAGCUAAAAGGGACUUACUGCCUACCGAGGUUGGAAGAAGCUAAUGGGAUUUGUUUAAUGGUUCAAGAAUUGGGUAUCGGUUUCACGAUCAAUACAGAGCAGAAUCGGCUAACACCCGUUCCCAAUUCUUACCGAUCUUAAUUGUUAAAACCUAAAUCGGACUGAUUCCAUAAUCGCUUUCUUUGUAUCUCAACUUGUAUUGGAUUGGCACCUUAAAGAAAAUCGAAUUAGACCAA